rnacentral:rRNA from 1 species
CCUACGGGAGGCAGCAGUAGGGAAUCUUUCACAAUGGGCGAAAGCCUGAUGGAGCAACGCCGCGUGCAGGAUGAAGGCCUUCGGGUUGUAAACUGCUUUUAUCAGCGAGAAAUAUGAUGGUAACUUAUGAAUAAGGAUCGGCUAACUACGUGCCAGCAGCCGCGGUGAUACGUAGGAUCCGAGCAUUAUCCGGAGUGACUGGGUGUAAAGAGUUGCGUAGGUGGCAUAAUAAGUAGCUAGUGAAAUCUGGUGGCUCAACCAUUCAGACUAUUAGCUAAACUGUUAAGCUCGAGACCGUUAGGGGUAACUGGAAGUUCUAGUGUAGGAGUGAAAUCCGUAGAUAUUAGAAAGAACACCAGUAGCGUAGGCGGGUUACUGGGACGGUUCUGACACUGAGGCACGAAAGCGUAGGGAGCAAACGGGAUUAGAUACCCCAGUAGUC